CGGUUAUCAGACGGGCUGUCACAAAAGCAUGAGUUUUAAUUGACUGUAAACUGUCAGUGCAUUUGGGUGUGGGAUUCACCCACAAUGACCUUACAACCAAAUGCAGGACAUGUCUCUUUCGACCUCCAGGCCAUGCAUGCCGCAGACCAAAACCUCCUUGUGAACUAGUUCAAGGACAGGCCUGCUUCAGACAGACAGUCUAUUUCGGACGGAUCCCACUCUUCUCCAGAAUGGGUUGCAAUUCCUUUUGCAGGGAUGUCAAGGAGAAGAAGGAGAAACUGAUGAUCACUGAAACCAUUUUUUGCUGCUCUAAUAAAAGUUUCUGUAAUGCAUAAGACAGCCUGCAACUUGGAGCUCCCUACAUGUAUCUGAUUUACAAUUACCCCAAUCCCAACAUCAGGAAUGGCAGGUGGGAGCAGCAACAUGGAAAAGCCUUCUCUGAAGUUUGCAGUUGAAACAUGGCCACUGUAUCUCCUCUCUCACUGAAUAAUCAGAGCUUCUGAUCUGAAAGACAGCU